UGGAUGAAGAUGGAGCAGUGAAGUUCGACACUAGCAUGUAUCACUUUGCUGAACAUGUACCUCCAGCGAGGCAGAGCAAGAGCUUGACUGAAGCUCAUAAGAAUAACAGUAAAUUGCAGAAGUGGUGCAAGAAGCAGGACAAGCUAAUCGAGGAGAAUUAAUGCACCUGCGCACAGGCCUGAGCUUAGCGAGCAGAGAGUCCC